rnacentral:rRNA from 1 species
CCUGGUUAUCAAAAACAUGGCUUAUUGAUAAUAAUUUUAGGUCUAACCUGCCCCCUGAGGAUUUAAAUGGCCGCAGUAAUUUGACUGUGCAAAGGUAGCAUAAUCAUUAGUUUUUUAAUUAAAAGCUGGUAUGAAAGGUUGGAUGAGAAAAAAACUGUCUCUAUUUAAAUUUAGUAUGAAUUUUAUUUUUAAGUAAAAAAGCUUAAAUAUGUUUAAAAGACGAGAAGACCCUAUAGAGUUUUAAAAAUAAAUUUUUUUAUGGUUUUUUGAAAUUUAAUUUAUAAAGAUAUUUCUUUUUUUUAUUGGGGUGAUGGAAAAAUUUAAUAAACUUUUUUUUUAUUAAAACAUUAAUUUAUGAAAAUUUGAUCCAUUAUUUGUGAUUAUAAGAUAAAAUUNCCUUAGGGAUAACAGCGUAA